rnacentral:sRNA from 1 species
CCAAGCACAUACAAACCAUCACAAUGCUCUAGCCUUUCCCAAGGCCACCUGUAAUUAGGGCAGAGUUGUGAGCAACAGGUGGCAGAGAGAAAAGGGAUCCAUAGGUGAAGGUCUUGCGACCACCCCAGCCCCUCUAUGAGGGGAUGUAACAGCCACCAAGUCCAGCUAAGGUGAUCUUUUGCAAGUGGACACAGCUCAUGAGACACAGCAGCAGACAGCGGACUAGACACCAGCCCACGUGCUGCCUCCCGUAAAAGUUAAUUUUUAUGAACACCAGUGGUAGGCCUGAAAGCUGAGAAGCUUCCACACAGAUAAGAAGCACAAGAUGGGCCAGGAUGCUGCUCAACCACCUGGGAAGGGACAGGGGCUGGCAGCAAAUCCAUUCAUUCCUUCUAGAAAAAUCACCCCUGCACCUGCUGACCAACUUCGGGCUGUCAGUACCUUUUCCUGAGAAGCUAUCUGGCCAGCUGCAGCCCCCUCCCAUUUUGGUGAGUGUGGUGUUGAGGUGGGUAUCACACCAGCUCAGGCUGAGUUGGAACUCGCUCUCUAGUCCAGAUCACCCUCAAAUGCAAGUUGACCCUCCUACUCAGUCCCCCCUUCCCUUGCCUCUUUCCCCCUUAUAUACUGGUCAUCGUAGAUAGAUAACAUUUGCUGGUUUGAGUGUGCACCCAAUGCUAUGUCAUGAUGCUAGUCAG